ensembl:lncRNA
AAUGUUCUGGGAGAAUGACGCUUUGACUGUGGUCUAAUUUGGGAGAAGAGGACUGAAAACAAAGAGCUGGGGCUUGUAGAAACAGACUGACAAAGCCAGCAUGAGAAGCAGAAAAUAGAAGAAUGCGUCGCGUCGCUGCUGUUUAUCUGCAGCCGCUUGCACAGCGCUACUCCAACUCACCGCUCUGGUUUGGAAAAGGUGGAGAAGCUAAGACUCCAGGCAAACUCCUACACCUCAGUGGAGUUAGAAACUGUUGGGAGCACUUCAUCCCAAAUUAAGGCCCAUUUAAUGGAGUGAAAGAAACCUCCACCAGAUAUUAGAGUUAUUAACUCAUUAGUAGCUUAGCAUCAUUAACCACUAGCCCCAGUCCCUCUUCAACCAAUUAAAACUUUCAGCUGUGUCUGGAGGGGGCGGAGCUACUAGUCGCCUUACACUUGACCUCUCUGCCAUAAAACUGCACAUCCUGUCCCGUUGUUUUCAUCGUGAUGACAUCCCCCCUCCCCUGCAGAACGCAGAGUUUGUGCUUAACUUUGUUUUAUUUGAUGGAUUUACAGGAUCACCUCAGAAAAAAAGUGUUUCUGUCACCAUCAUGUAGUAGUGAUUUACUCAUUGAUAUUCGCCAUUGUUAGUUGAUAUGUCUUUAACAAGAAAACAGGCAAAUGAUAGUUUAGGAUGUGCUGCUAGACCAUUUCUAGAGCAGAGGUAGAUUUGGGUGAAUUUGGUUUGAGCUGAGGUUGUAAAUUCAUCCACGGAGAUGUGGUCAUAAAGAGGUGGAGGCUGAAAAUGAAAGGUACUUAGGGUUCCUACGCAGGUCUGCAAAACAUGAAGAAAAACUGGCAGAGUGAACUCAACUCGCUCUUCACUCGCACCUAAUGUAGAUAUACUGAUUUGAAUCAUUAUCGUAAACUCAGCAUUUGUACUGAGAGCUGUGGCUUUGAAACUUCAUGUGCUUUUCUUUGUUUUCUUUCAUAUAUACUGUUACAAAUGUGGUUGCCCAUAUUAAAUAUUGCCAAAUUUUCAAGUAAUAAGGAAAGCUUCUAUAAAGGUAACUGCUGUGAGCUCUAAUCUCAGAUGUUACACUGUUCUAAAGACUUAGUUUAAUGUUUUUUUUCUACUCUUGUGUCUGUCUGAUGACAGCUUGGCACAUAUUUCCUUAUGGUCAGCCACAGCUCUGGCUUUACCACAAUAAGGAGGCAAGGGUGCAAGACAGCCAAUCACAACACAGAGGCCAAAAUGUUUCAGUUAGAUGAUGCACUGAGUGCCUAUUUAAAGGGCCAGUAUAAGGUAAAUUAUUGAAAACAUUUUUUAACUGCCAAUCACACAGAAACCACAACAGAAAAUGAGCAUUAAUGGCCCCUUUUAACAUUUUUUUUUUUAUUUUUUUGAUAAUACUUCUGUCAGUCACAGGCUCGAUUCAGUGGUAAAUUGUCAAACUGUAAGUCAUAAAUUACUUAAAGCCACUUAGUUUCAAAUUGACAUAUUUCAAAAAUAGUAUUAAAUAUUUAUGAGGAAACCAACAACAUUCAGAGUUAAAGGUAUCCUGUGGAGUUUUUGACCACUGGCAACAUUAUGGAGCAGCGUGUCCCUGUUUUCAUACAUCUGAAAUUAGAAAAUGUAGUAAUAUAAUGGUUUUCUCUGCCGAUGGUUUCAGCCUUUAUUUUUUUUUAUUUUGUUUUUUAAAUCAGCUUUGUUAAUGUUUUAUGAAUAGGAAAAAACACUGAGCUGGGUUGUUAGAUCUGCAGGAUAUGCUUACAGAGAAACAAAACCUCUGCAGGCCCUGUCUCUGCUGUUGCUCUAUGAAGCUCCCAAAAUUCACCAGCAGUGUUUUUAUGUUUUUAUGUUUUGUUUUUUUUUAAUUUCAGCUCACAUUUUUCCACACCCGGCCUUCCUAUUUUAACCCAGGGCAAACAGCACAGACAGACUCAUAGAGCAUGCUGCUCUGUGAGAAAAGUGCUAGGUACAGCUUGAAUAUUUUUCUUUAUGAGUCAGCGUGUAUUUAGUGACUCAUAAUGUGGCAUGCGCUGAGUUAAAAUACCAAAUCUGACACCCCCCUAAAAAUGGUUAUGAAGAUUUGUCAAUAGAAGCUGCGUAGGAACUGUGAAUGCCAACUUCUGCAGCACCUGCUUCAUCCAUGUGAAAUAAGACCUGUGUGAGAGAACAGGCACAUCUCUCCGAGAUUGUUGUUAUAACUUCGGGGAUAUCAUCCCCUGACAUUAUUACUGAGGUAUGUUGUUAUUAGCUGUUUUACAUUUUACAUGUACUUUAACCAUCAUUUUUACUGAGAACGAUUAAAGAGUACCCAUUAUGCGUUUCCUAAUUUUCUGUCAUAUAUAUAUAUACUGUUACAGAGGUGGAUGCUCAUAUCAAACAUGGCCAAAAUUUCAAGUACUGAGGUCAAAAAGGCUUCAGCCCACUCUAAUCACCCAGUUUCAGACAGUUAUGGGGGGGUCUGUGCCUAAUCUGAUCAUCUCAGCUAAUCAGAAGAAAGCUGGCUUAAAGGGAAAAGAGCCAACACUGGUUGUUAUCAGUGGCAAACUGAAGAGCCAGUAUAUGAUAAAUAAAGAUUAUUUUGAGCUAUAAAUCAUUAAAGGCUACUGUGAGAGCCCAAGAAUAAAACACAACAAACAUGGAGCUGGAAAUGAGCAUAAUAGGUCCACUUUAAGCUGUGCCUCUGCUUCUGAUAUGAGCUCUGUUGGUGUAUUACUGUAUUGUCAUUGUACUUGAUUUCAGUGUUUUUAUUCCUCUUUGCACAUAACAGGAUGUUUUGGUGUUGCUGUGGCUGAUUCUGGACACUCUUUGUCUCUCUCUCUCUCACACACACGUGUACACUCAUGCUUUCGUGCCUUGUCCUGCUGCUGGACAUCCUCUCGCCUACAGCUGCUCCAUCGGCAACACACACCUGCUGCCAUUUGCCAUUUUUUCCCACAAACACGUGCACACAAAAGCACACACAUGCACAUCUUCUGGCUGAGAACUGUGCCUUCUGAGCUGUACAUGCACACACCUUCAUGAAACACGCUCUUCUGCCUUCUGGUCACGGUACAAAUGUCCCCUGGUGUUCACUCCUUACUGCUUUGUACACUGACAUUGUUUUCUAAAGAUGGCUGUAGGCUGAGGGAGAGGAUGUAAACUCGUGAUGCAGCGUGACUCGCGGUGAAUUCAUAUUAGGCCCUUUGCUUCUUUUUGGGACACAGGGUAGAUACUCGUGAGGCGAGAUAGACGGCAGACAGAGAGAGCUUGAAUCUGUUGGAUUCAAGCCCGCGACACUGCGGGUACCUGUCCUGUUCUUGUCUGUUUUGAAGCACGCCAUGAGUGUAGAACAGCAGAUGGAGACGAUAACAAAACAGCUAAAAUUUUAGACGUAUUACUGUACCGCUUCUGUGGUGAACUUGAGCCUGGUUCGGUGUUUUCUUAAAGUCGUCAGCUGCCACAUUCAGAAUGAAUGUGUAAAUUGUUUUGGAGAUAAUGUGGCUUUUAUGCAGACAUUACUUAUGUUGCUCUCUGGUAGCAGUGUAACACAUUCCUAUCAAAAGCCGUAACUGUAACCCCCCCACAAACAGACCAGACCUUGUUCCGACAUCGAAACAGUUUUCAGCUUCCUGGCUCACAGCUGUAGACCAGAACAUUGUGAUAGAAAGAGAUAAGUGGCAGGGCAAUCCCUUUCGGGUGUACCAGCCUAGAUUAGUGUGGAGUUUUUCCCUCCACCUACAUGACACAGAUCUGAGUGUUCCCUGUAGUAUUUCUAACCUAAAGUAGGUCCUUUCGCCUGUCUCUGACCCAAUACACUCAUUUUUUUUUCUCCUGAAGAACCAGUUUUCUGGUUAGGUUCUGUGUUGUAACUUUGUAGGAAAAAACUGAGAGCAUUUCAGUUAAAUUUGUGCUUAUCUUUCUUCUGACAAACCUGACAGUUGCAUGUACAGGCUGUGAAAUUUGAUUGUGUGGCUCACUGAUGCUGACUUACAGAAAAUGCUGAGUUUAAACUGGACUGAUUUAAUACAAUUAUACAAUAAUUUUAGACCGGACUACCCCGACCAUCUCUGUGCUAAAAGCUGCUUUGUUCGUGCUGUCAGUGGAAUCCAGGGCCCCGAUACAUCCAGGACUAUUUUUACUCAGUUAUGUCUCACGUGUCAUGUGCUGCUGCUCGGUGAAGCCACAAACAUCACCCAAUUACUGAUCGCCUGAAACUAUGUUAUCGAGCUUUGUGACACUGCACAGGGAGUUUACCACACUUUCCAUUUUCGUGGAUAGAAACAGAGGCACAUUAAACUAAUUGGCUGCAUUGUUUAUGGGGUAAUCAAAAAGAAUGAGUGAGGGGAAUUAAGACCAUUUCAAAGCACCAGAUCAGCAAAAAAAAAGGAAGCUGGACAAUAAUGUUUAUAGUGUCACAUACAGAAAUUUUAAAGGGAAAAAUCAGAAAACUACUAAAACCUACCAAACCGUAGGUUAAUUUUUGAGUUAUAAUGAUUUUAAUUGUGGACUGACCUGCUUUCACCAACAUGUAUUAGGAGAUUUGGCUCCCCUGCAGCAAUACGGCAAAUUGUUACCGGGCACUGAACUGCAAACUAAUUAAGCUAACAUAAUGCAGACUGGUGCUUUUGAGUGCUUUGUUUUGAUGUUACACAUUUAGUAAGAAAAGAGUUUUUCCCUGAAAGAUUAAAUCUGAACCCCUUUGUGCUUCACAUAUUUUCUGAACACACAGUUUGGGAGGGGGACCAGUGGAGGAAAUUCAAGUGGGGUGGAACCCAAAGACUGUAUAUAAAAGAAAGAAGUAGCCACUGUGACAUCACUCAUUGGUUAGUGAAUGAGAUGAGCGUUUUUGAAACCAGCAGUUUUGAGACCAGGGCGUAUCUGGUAGACACACAUUGGCUAACGACGUGAUAAACACUGCUUCAUCAUUAUUCUGGAAACUAAUUGGAACCACAAUUUGCAAAAUAAACAUUAUGUUUUCAGCUAACAGUUAAGACCAUUAGCUCACAAUAAAGGUACUUGAAAAUGUGCCGAUUUAACAUAUUUAUCCAUUGGCGCUCCCUUUAAACCCGAAGCUAUGUCCAUCUUUUAUAUACAGUCUAUGUUCCCAUAGACCGGUUUUAGUCUUUAAUGAUUAAACAAACAAGAUGCAGCAUGUUAAUAAAUGAGCUUUAGAUGCACUGGUAGGAGGACAGAUGUGGCAUUUUGAGUCUUUGUUUAAAAAAAAAAAAAAAAAAAAUCUUAAAUCAUUACUGAAUUUAAGUUGACGGGAACAAAGAAAAUUGGAUCAAUUUGUGGUUGUCUAGCAGAGGUAAAUGAUAGAUAACCUGUGCCGGAUUAAUAGUUUAAUUCAAUCGCCUUGUUCUGUUUCUUUCCAUUUGCUGUGGUUGAAUCUGUGUCACUCUGAAGUAAUGGAGAAUAGCUUUGUGCAGCAGGGACAGACAUUGCACUGGCUGUUUGAAAAAGAGCUUAUAGGAACAAAUACAUCAUGAUCAAAACACUGCCAGUGCUGGCUGUUGGCAUCGUUACAUCGCCGGCUCCUCCUGCCAGCCUGCUGAGGUGGGAACAGCCACAAGCGGCUCCUUCCUCAUCAGUUCACUGGUCUGCACUGAACAGAAACGGCUCUUUAGCAGCAGCAACAGCAGCAGCAGUCAGUGAGCUGCAGACAGCCCAUGUCAGACUGUCUCUGUGGAUUGUAACGCCAACACUCAUGCAUACCUCCGUUAGCUGUUGUCCCAGUACUCUACAGUGAGCUAGACAAAACACCAGUCUUAUAAAGUAGGCUUAAAGGCUGCUUAGUGAAUGCAUCUGUCGCAACAACAAAACGAGUAGUCAGAUAUUUAAACACUAACGUUUGGAGGGGUAAGACCUCUCCAUGUGGACGGUUUCCUGUUAUUGCUGUAUGGAUUUGUCAUUGUCUAGUCCGGCUUUAAUGUCUCAUUCCUUGAUAGGAAUACCUUUUGGACAACGUGUAUUUACUGCACUCAAGCAUCUGUAUGAUAUGUGAACAGACUCUUUGUAUCUUAUGGCAUUGUACAAAUAAAAGCUUCAUG